AGAGUUUGAUCCUGGCUCAGGAUGAACGCUGGCGGCGUGCCUAACACAUGCAAGUCGAACGGAGAUUACAGACGGAAGUUUUCGGAUGGAAGGCUGUAAUUCUUAGUGGCGGACGGGUGAGUAACGCGUGGGCAACCUGCCCUAUACAGGGGGAUAGCAGCUGGAAACGGCUGGUAAGACCGCAUAAGUCGGCGAGACCGCAUGGUUUUGUCGGGAAAUGAGCAAUCAGGUAUAGGAUGGGCCCGCGUCCGAUUAGCCAGUUGGCAGGGUAAAAGCCUACCAAAGCAACGAUCGGUAGCCGGACUGAGAGGUCGGACGGCCACAUUGGGACUGAGACACGGCCCAAACUCCUACGGGAGGCAGCAGUGGGGGAUAUUGCACAAUGGAGGAAACUCUGAUGCAGCGACGCCGCGUGAGUGAAGAAGUAUUUCGGUAUGUAAAGCUCUAUCAGCAGGGAAGAAAAUGACGGUACCUGACUAAGAAGCCCCGGCUAACUACGUGCCAGCAGCCGCGGUAAUACGUAGGGGGCAAGCGUUAUCCGGAUUUACUGGGUGUAAAGGGAGCGCAGGCGGUUUGGCAAGUUGAGAGUGGAAGCAGGGGGCUCAACCCCCUGACUGCUCCCAAAACUGUUAAACUUGAGUAUGGGAGAGGCAGGCGGAAUUCCUAGUGUAGCGGUGAAAUGCUUAGAUAUUAGGAAGAACACCGGUGGCGAAGGCGGCCUGCUGGACCAAAACUGACGCUGAGGCUCGAAAGCGUGGGUAGCAAACAGGAUUAGAUACCCUGGUAGUCCACGCUGUAAACGAUGAAUACUAGGUGCUGGGAGGCAUAAGCCUUUCGGUGCCGUCGCAAACGCAUUAAGUAUUCCACCUGGGGAGUACGUUCGCAAGAAUGAAACUCAAAGGAAUUGACGGGGACCCGCACAAGCGGUGGAGCAUGUGGUUUAA
rnacentral:rRNA from 1 species